GACGAACCGUCCAAACGUUAUUCGGAAUCACUGGGCUUAAAGGGCGCGUAGGCGGGCAAGCAAGUCCGGGGUGAAGGCCCCCAGCUCAACUGGGGAAGUGCCUUGGAAACUGCUUGUCUAGAGGGAGGUAGGGGCAUGUGGAACUUCGGGUGGAGCGGUGAAAUGCGUUGAUAUCCGAAGGAACGCCGGUGGCGAAAGCGACGUGCUGGAUCUCUUCUGACGCUGAGGCGCGAAAGCUAGGGUAGCGAACGGG
rnacentral:rRNA from 1 species